rnacentral:tRNA from 1 species
AAAGAUGUAGUUAAGUAAUAACUUUAGUAUGUCAUGCUAAAAUCAUUAGUCAUAUUCUAAUCAUCUUUA